rnacentral:lncRNA from 1 species
UUGGCCGUAUAUUUUGUUAUUUCUCAAUUACAUGAACUACUUGUCGAACCUUCAUCGAAUUUUAUGAAAUACCGAAGAAGCUUUUUCUAUAACUUAUGUCUAAAGCUAAGAUUUUGAAAGCAUUUUUUUCGUUCAUUUUUUGUUCUUUUCUGAUAGACAGCCGGAUAGCCGGACUCUUCUUUACGCAGUUAAUUGUUUUACAUGCUCAAUUUAUAAACCUUCAUAGAUUGUCGUGAAAUAUUCCAGAUCAAAAAAAAAAUAUCAGAAGAAAAUUUUCGAUUUUUUUUUAAAUCCCUUUAAAGGAACGAUAAAUUGAGUCACUUUUUGUGGGAAGAAAUCCUAGGUGUUCCAUAUUUUUUUUAUAUUGCACCUCUUAGAAAUAUUUUUUCGUGUUCAUUAAAAGGUGCUUUUGUGGAUUGUAUGCUCACUCGAUCACGGCACCAUUUAAACUUAUUUAAAAGUAAUAUUGGUUUGGACGUUUUCUCUAAAACCAAUGACCAUUAGGAUAGCUUCCAGUUUAACACGAUGAAUAAGUUAACAUAUUACAAGAUUUAACCAAAACAAACAAACAAUUUAGAUUCAAAAGUAUGUUGCUAUCAAUGAUUUUUUACUGACAGGAAUCAUUAUGGUAUCUCAUUCUCG